ACUAGGAGCAAAAAAGACCAAAAACCUAAACACCAAGAAGAAAGAAGAAACAACAUUGGAAGAUCAGAAGACAUAACAUUAACAUUUAAACACAAGCACAAAAGAUACUACAGCAUUGCCGAAUGGGUUCAGAGCUUUUGAUAAAAUAUGAGACCACGCUCGGUAGAAAUCGGCUUGCCCAUAACGCUACUCCAAAAGAUUGACACCGACCACACACAGCUUUGCAUAGACCGGCUGAAGGAAUCAAGCCGCCAACUACCACUGGUAAAGGAGCUUGAGACCCGAGCUAAGAACCUCUACUUGUAUCAAGCACACUAGAGCGCCAAUCUGGCUUGACGUUCCAGGACCACCAAAGUCACACUUAUGCUUGGCUCCAGAACAUAGUGCGAGCAGAUGCAAGAAGACAGGGAGCGAUGAUAGUCACAUCCUGAGCCGCUCGCCCAAACCUACAAUAUAGAGAUCGAUCAGCCCUCCAUUGGUGACCAAGCGACCAGACAAUGGAGCUGUGAUGGCCAAUCAGCACAUGAGUCUCCUUCAAGAAAAUAGAGCUUCGAGACUCAAAUGCCCUGCAAGGCUAUCGAAUGGAUGAAGAGGAUCCUGAUUCCAAGAGUUUGCAAAUCCAGUUUUCCAGAAGCCCAGGUCUAAGACCAGGGGCAACGUGAAGAAAGGAGGUGAUGAGUUGAGAUACUUUUGAGGCAAAUCAACCAAAAUAGUAACUUAUUGUUUUCUCUAGAGCCUAAUAUUCAGAUCCUUAGUAGCACUCACUCAAAGCUAUAGAGAUGUAUGAAUAGACACAAAAGUCCAGGAGUUGAGUUUAUUGGAAUCUAAACUUAGACACUGU